UACGUAGGGGGCUAGCGUUGUUCGGAAUUACUGGGCGUAAAGGGCUCGUAGGCGGCCAACUAAGUCGGAUGUGAAAUCCCUCGGCUUAACCGGGGAACUGCGUCCGAUACUGGAUGGCUUGAGUUCGGAAGAGGGAUGCGGAAUUCCAGGUGUAGCGGUGAAAUGCGUAGAUAUCUGGAGGAACACCGGUGGCGAAGGCGGCACCCUGGACCGAUACUGACGCUGAGGAGCGAAAGCCAGGGGAGCAAACGGG
rnacentral:rRNA from 1 species